GCUAGGGUGGCAGAGCCUGGUUACUGCAAAAGGUCUAAGCCCUUUGAACAGAGGUUCAAAUCCUCUCCCUAGUU
rnacentral:tRNA from 2 species